UUCCUAGUUUUUCUGGAACACUGUCUCUGAGAGCCCUGAUCAACCAUGUAAGGAGGUAGAUUGCCCUCAGACCUGAAGAUGACAUGUGAAGGACCUCUAGAAAACCGUCCCAGCUGAGCCCUUUUUUCCAGCCUCCCUACCAAGGCAGAAAAGUGAAAGGUGAGAGGAUAAAAAGAAAAAUGAAUAAAGAGCUUAAAGAAAGAUAAUUCAAGGAAAGAAGAAUGGCAGACAGUUAAGAAGAGGAAGACCUGAGCUUUGGAACAUUCUGAACCAUAACAGUUCAGCUGCAACUGCAGCCACAGUUGUGUCAUACAGUGUUCCCAAGACAAAUCUUGCAGAUGCAAGAGGUAGGCCACUUAUUAAGCUUGAUUCAGCCCUUACCACUUUUUUGGAUUAUUCUCUGAGGUCAACUACACUGGUUGUUGGAUAAGCAGUCCAGGAUAAUAUUAGCCAAGGGAAAUGUUACAUUAGAAGUGGUUACACAUAUAUUUUCUACUUAAUGAAUAAACAUAUACCAUUUUCUGAAAAAAUUAUAUAUUCAUCUUUCAGAAAAAAAACCUAUGAUUUAAAAUUAAAAGUUUCAGCCAGGCGCGGUGGCUCACACCUGUAAUCCCAGCGCUUUGGGAGGCUGGGGCGGGCAGAUCAAGAGGUCAGGAGUUUGAGACCAGCCUGGCCAACAUAGUGAAACCCCGUCUGUACUAAAAAUCUAAAAAUUGGCUGGGUGUGGUGGCGGGCACCUGUAGUCCCAGCUACUCGGGAGGCUGAGGCAGGGGAAUCGCUUGAACCUGGGAGGCGGAGCUUGUGGUGAGCCAAGAUCACACCACUGCACUCCAGCCUAGGUGACAGAGUGAGACUCUGUCUCACAAAAAAAUUAAUUAAUUAAUUAAAUUAAAUUAAAAGUUUCACACUUGAGUUUAGGAUGAACAACUUUUGCGUUUGAAAGCAGUGAAUAUGAGAAUCUUUCAUAGCAAUAGUCCAAUAUCUCAUUAAAAAUUAACAAAAAACUCAGUUAUCUCAUGCUUAUUUUUAUAUUGAUGUAUUUAUUUCAUGUAUGUAUAUAUAUGCAUAUAUAAAUAAAAAUAGUG
rnacentral:lncRNA from 10 species